CGUGUCAAAGCGGAGGCUUCCCGCAGAGUGCGCUCUGCGCAUGUGCAAUGCCCUUUCCUUUCUGUCUGGGCGGCUUUGUCUCACGCCGCAGGGGGUUGAAGACUCCGGCGCUACCAGGUCCCCGCAGCGGAGCUGAGGGCGGGGCCGGGGCUCAGAGUGGCCUGGGAUCAGAGACAGAUCCCUUGCAGUGA
rnacentral:lncRNA from 1 species